GACGAACGCUGGCGGCGUGCUUAACACAUGCAAGUCGAACGGAAAGGCCCCUUUGUUGGUACUCGUUUGGCGACCGGGUGCGUAACACUUUAGUAACCUGCCCUUGCCUUCGGGCUAACUUCAGCAAACUGGGGCUAAUACUGGUUCGGAAUCCUUACUUCAUGGUUGGGGUUGGAAAUCUUCGGCGGUUUUGGCUUGACUCGCGGCUUAUCAGCUUGUUGGUGGGGUAGUUGCUUACCAAGGCUGUGACGGGUAGCCUGCCUGAGAGGGCGACCGGCCACAUUAGGACUGAGAUACGGCCCAGAAGCCUACGGGAGGCAGCAGUGGAGAAUAUUGCACAAUGGGGGGAAGCCAGAGGCAGCAACGCCGCGAGCGGGAUGACGUGCUUCGGGUUGAAAACCGUGGUCAGCAGGGGAGAAGCUUGUGGUGACGGUACCUGCAGAAGAAGCAACGGCUAACUACGUG
rnacentral:rRNA from 1 species